rnacentral:rRNA from 1 species
CAGCACCUCAAGUGGUCAGGAUGAUUAUUGGGCCUAAAACAUCCGUAGCCGGCGCUGUAAGUUUUCGGUUAAAUCUGUACGCUCAACGUACAGGCUGCCGGGAAUACUGCAGCGCUAGGGAGUGGGAGAGGUAGACGGUACUCGGUAGGAAGGGGUAAAAUCCUUUGAUCUAUUGAUGACCACCUGUGGCGAAGGCGGUCUACCAGAACACGUCCGACGGUGAGGGAUGAAAGCUGGGGGAGCAAACCGGAUUAGAGACCCGAGUAGUCC